rnacentral:sRNA from 1 species
CUAUCUGAGUCUGAGGGCAAAGCCACUGGCAGCCUUGUAUUUAGCCUAAUGUUUUGGGCCCCAACAGCCAUAAUUACAGACUUGGUAAUCAUAUUCACUGAAGACGUCAAAAGGGUUUCUAUGACACAACAGCCGCAAGUUAAAUACCGU